rnacentral:rRNA from 1 species
UAAUAUUAAAUUAUUAUUUAUUUUUAUAUAAUUAUGUUUAUUUUUAUUAUUAUUUAUGAAAAAAUUGUUUUUAUUAUAGUUUAUUAGUAAUGAAAUUGAAAUUUUUUAUUGUUUUAAAAGAAAAUUUAAUUUAUUGUUCCUUGUGUAUCAGUAUUGAUUUAUUAAUUUGUAUUAAUUUAUUUUUCUCGAAUUUUAAAGAUUUAUUUAAAUAUAAAUAUAAUUGUUUCAUAAUUUUUUAAAAUAUUUAAUUUGAAAUGAAAUGUUAUUCGUUUUUUAGUAUAUCUAGUUUUUCAAGAAAUGAAUUUAAUUCAAUUAGUUUUACUUAAAUUUUAAUUUUUAAUUUUUAUGUUAUUCUAUUAAAUUUAUAUUGGGAUUAGCUUAUUUAAAUAAUUUUAAAAAUUUGUUGUAUAUUUAUUUUGUAUGAUUUGAAUUUUCUUUCAUUUAAAUAAUUUAAUAUUUUUUUUUAAUUUUAAUUUUAUUUAUAUUUAUUUUAUGUUUUAUAUUGAAAAAUUUAUUUUAAUUUAUAUUAUAUUUAUUUUGAUUAAAUUAGUAAAUUUAAUUAUUUUUUUUUUAUAUUUUUUUUUAUGUUAUUAAAAGGAAUUAGGCAAAAAUUAUUUCUGCCUGUUUAAUAAAAACAUGUCUUUUUGAAUUAUAAUAUAAAGUUUGGUCUGCUCAAUGAAUGUUUAAAUUGCCGCGGUAUUUUAACUGUGCAAAGGUAGCAUAAUAAUUAGCUUUUUUAUUGAAAGCUGGAAUGAAUGAUUUGACAAGAAAUAAUCUGUCUCUUAAUAAUUUUUAUUUAAUUUAACUUUUUAGUUAAAAGGCUAAAAUUUUUCUUAAAGACGAGAAGACCCUAUAGAGUUUAAUUUUAUUUUUUGUUUUUUAUUUAGUAUUUAUUUUUAAUUUUAAAAUAAAAUUUUAUUGGGGUGAUUGGAAGAUUUAAUUAACUCUUUUUUUAUAAAUCAUUUAUUUAUGAAUAUUUAAUCUUAUUUUUUGAAUUUAAAAUUAAAUUACCUUAGGGAUAACAGCGUUAUUUUUCUUUAGAGUUCUUAUUAAAAGAAAUUAUUGCGACCUCGAUGUUGGAUUAAAAUUUAAUUUUGGUGAAGUAGCUUUAGUUUUUAGUCUGUUCGACUAUUAAAAUUUUACAUGAUCUGAGUUUAAACCGGUGUGAGCCAGGUUGGUUUCUAUCUUUAGUUAUAUAAAAUAUUUUAGUACGAAAGGACCAUUUAUUUAAUAUAUUAUUUAUUUAUUAUUUUGAAUAUUAUU